UACAGAGGUGGCAAGCGUUGUUCGGAAUUACUGGGCGUAAAGGGCGCGUAGGCGGUCGUGACAAGUCACUUGUGAAAUCUCCGGGCUUAACUCGGAACGGUCAAGUGAUACUGUCGGACUAGAGUACAGAAGGGGCAACUGGAAUUCUCGGUGUAGCGGUGAAAUGCGUAGAUAUCGAGAGGAACACCUGCGGCGAAGGCGGGUUGCUGGGCUGAUACUGACGCUGAGGCGCGAAAGCCAGGGGAGCGAACGGG
rnacentral:rRNA from 1 species